GGGAAUGCUGUAGUAACAGUAUGAAAAGUUAAGAAUGACAUCUGCUAUGAAAACGGCAGGGCUCAAUCAGCAAUGCUGAAGAGUAGGGCUGAAUGGCACUGUAGACAUCUUUUGUCAUUUUUAAGAUGUAAUAUUUAACAAAAUUCACAUCACUUGAAAAUGUGUUUUUUAAAGCUGCUGAAUUGCAACACUGUCCUGUUCUAUUCAACUUCUCCGUUGCAUGCAGUGUCUGUGUGAUUUUGACCAUUCUAAGUUUAGUUCUGUAGCAAAAAUCUUUGGUGAACAGCAUGAACCCAUACAUGCUCCGGGGGAGUAAGGGAUUUUUAUUUACUUUUUUUUACAGUCAAACAAAAGGACUGAGGACUAAUCAUCAUGACUGAAAACAGAUCCAGGGAAAACCACCAAAGGCCCUUCUAAGUGAGUACAGAUCUCACCAGUCCUAGGGAGAACUUCACUCUUCCAUUGUAGAGGAACAGGUAGAAUAUGUUUCAGGCAUUUGGGGUGGGCUGGGAAGUGAUGGGUCUUGCUCUCACAGCUCUAGUAUAAAUCCCUUACAAUUAGCGGAGUGGGAAGUCCUCCACCACAUCCCCGAACAGCUGAGGUUGGCAGGAUCCAUCUGGUCCAACCCAGUGUUGGUUGCUUCAACCAAAUUCAAGCAGGGCUGCCCAGGAUUGCAUCCAAAACUCAUUUCUUCUCUAGCAAACUCAAACACCACACCCCAGCCUUCCAAGCACACGGCCCCAGCAGCCGUUCCUGGUGACAGUCAGAUUUAACAGCAAUCUCACUGGGAUCCUGGGAUCCAUUUCCUGGGAGAAAAACAAAUGCACAAAGACACCUCUCACGUUCUUUUGUCUUUUUUUUUUUUUUUUAAUUAUUCCUUCAUAUUCAAACUUCACAAACAGUGUGAACUUGUACAAUACCUCAGAAAGUGAAACUUACAAAAAAAGUGCUGGUAACAUUAAAAAAAAACAAAAAAAAACAAAAAAACAAACAUCAUUCUUAGCAACAUCAAUUACUCUUCCACACAAAACAGAAACCUUGUAAAAUUUAUUUCCGUAUUUUUUUAAGGCGUAAUACUUCCGUAUAAAGUAUAUGCAAGAGAUAAAACUUCACAGUAUUCCAAAAUGUCACAAUAAUAAUAAUAAUAAUAUAGUAUAAUGAAGCGCUACAGUUAAUUUUCUUUUUUUAUUUUUUUUUCCUGUUUUAAAUAACAAAUACAAGUCACAGGUAAAUAUACGUGAGAAAAAUACGAGGCUAAUAUUAAAUGGCAGGUAAGGAUACUCUCACUGUAAGAAAAAACUGGCAGGAUGUGUGUAUUUAUUCUAUAUUUUAAAGCACUUGAUAGAAAAGGCGUAUGCAAGGUAUUUUUUUUUUUUAACAAUUUUCUAUUUGCUUGUUUUUGAUAACUGACAUACCAUUUACAGAGUAUAAUGAGAGAAAAAAAAGGAACUUAACCCCUCAAAACUGUUGACCUGCUCUUCACAUCAUCACAAACCGUGUUUCUCCAGAGAUGUCUGUAUCGCGGUGCACAUGUGGAGCGUGGCGGGCAGGUGAGCAGCAAUGCGAGCAAAUGGGGCUCAGUGAGGCCACAUCCGUGGGUCUCCAUGCGGGCAAGGCCACUGCUGAAUGCAGGGAGUUGCUGGCGUGGAGACCCCAGGAUGGAGCUCGGGGUGCAGCUUCCCAUUCAUUCCACUCUGACAGUUGGGAAUUUUCCUCAAACAAAAGCACCCCAUUUGUUCCCCUCCACUGCUCAGCAGUUUUGCCUUCCCCUUUCUUCCCUCCAUGAAACAGAGCAAAGACCGACCCAGAAAUUUCCACCCAGGUCCCCGCUGAUGCCACAAGGAAGCGGAAGGUGAUGGCUGCAUGCUCAGUCCCUUGCCACGUUGUGCAGAGUGGCUCCGCACGCCCACACGUCUGCACUGGCAGCCACCGCUCAGCCCAUGGGUAACAAAAAGACAGCAGAUAGCAUUAACACAUCAGUAAGGUGCUCAAAGAAAAAAAGGUGGCUCCCAGUCUUGCACUCUUGGCAUGGGAAAGCCACGUAAGGUGCUUCAAAAAGGUUUUUUUUCUUUUUUUUUUUCUCGUUUUUUCUUUUUUUUUUCUUUUUUUUUCUUUUUUUUUUUUCAGUUUCAGACAUUUUUAAAAAAGGACUGAUCGAGCAUGUGGUACGUGAGAGCAAGGCCGAGAGUUUUGAGACUUCUGACAUCCUCCAUUAACAAAAGCUUUCUCAGGGCAGGAUGCGUUUCACUUUGUUUGCUUUUUCUUUUGCAGGUGGAUCAAUUUAGAUGCAAUUUUUUUCUUUUUUUUUCAUCUAAAACAAAACAAAAAACAACGGAACCAAACAACCCAAUGUGAGAAUUAGUGUAAAAGUCAAACUGUGUUAUUGGGCUGAGUUUUUGUUUUUGUUUCUGUUGGUUUUGCCCAUUCACGCAGUUAGCACCGUUCCUUUUUAUUCCGGUUACAACUCAAUUCCUCCUGUAAUUAUUGUAUAUACAGAAAGGACCACAUAGUUGCUUUUGUUUUUUGUGAUCUGUUUCAAGAGCCCAACAUAAUUCCUCUGCUGCUGCUGUGUUUGUGUAGCAUCUGGUUUCAUGAGCUUAAGGAGAAAGGUUAUAGUCUGCUGAUAGUUAAGGUUGACGUGUGUGCUCGUACGCAUACACAUUGUUCUAUACAUACACACUGCAUGGAGUACAUUUCAACUGGAGAUAAGGUGAACUGGGUUCAAACACAUAUGCACUAGCUUCCCCAAUGCAUUUGAAACAGUCUGGAGCUUUGAUUUGAUUUUUUUUUUUUAAAGUGCAUUUAAAGCAAAAUAACUGGCAUUCACAUGCCCCAUGGAAAACAUGAUAGUGGUGAAAAGCUCAACUAUGUGGAACUCCUUGACUCAACAACACCAAAAGCAAAUGGGGCAGUGACAGGCCUCAGUGUAGGCAGCUAUUCUUGGGCAGCACCAUUGGCAAGGAGGGAAGGCAGGAGGUGGCGGAAGGGAAAUUGCUUGAGAGCUUGAGUAUUUGAACGUCUGACAUAGCUGUGUCAUUCCCAGUACAGCUUCCACUGUGGUGAUCACUGACCUCUGUCUUACAGAUGCACACGGCUGACUCUCCCUAGCUCUGGCUGUCAUCGAUACUUUUGUGUAUGUGUCCCAAGUGCCAGCAUCUAUUAGGAGUAAGGCACUGCUGAAUUUACAGUUUUACAAAAGAUGCAAAAUAAUGCAACCCUAACAAUCCCAACUGCCCACAAUGCUCUCCUCCCUCCCUCUUUUUUUUUUUUUUUGAAAUAUUGCAUGUGAUGUAGUUUAUACUAAGUGUAUAGUGUGUCAAAAGGCCUUGAACAAAUGUCUUAAGUCCAUCAGCACCAAAGGUUGGUAGGCUUACACCCUUCCUCUGAUUACGCAUGCACAUGUGCAGACCAUUAAUGAGAUGCACCCAUUGCUACCCUGCUAUUCCUCAUUGUUCCUAGAGCCUGACCUACAGAAUAAUUCCCAGUCCCUCAUCCACAGCAUGUUCAUUUACUGGCUCCUUGAUGGAAAUGAUGAAGGGACGUUUCUUUGCCAUCACUCAGCAGCAUGGAUAGAUGACCCUCCUGCUGGGUGGGCGCUAUAUGGGGCUGCUUUGCACUGAUUCUUAAAACUGAGAAAAGCCUCCACAGUGCAGCAGGCAAGUCAGAAGAGAGGGCAGGGACAGCUGGCUCCAUGUUUUUCUAACGAGGCCUUGUGUGCACAAGAGCAGCUGUGGGUGGCAAGCCACUUUUUCCAGUGCUAAAGUGCUAUUUCCUUUCCACAGUUUUGACCUGGGAGUAAGCCAUGCUCCAAUAACAGGGUGGGGUUUCUUGGCCCUAAAAAUACCGUAGUCUGUCCAUCAUAAUAUGCAUGUGCUGUGGCAACUGGUGUAUCCUUCUUCUGCUAAAACACUGAAAAAUGAUCCAUUAACUCCUUUCCCUGAGCCAGGAUCCCACUGGCUCCUCUCACCUUUUACCAAACAAUAGGGCUGCCUGUAAAGCAGAGAAUACAGAGAAAGUAAGAAAAGCAAGCAGACAGUGGAGAUUACAGCAAAGCAAGCACGAGACCAGACAAUCUAGUACUUCACUGCUUGGCUGGUCAGUUGAGCCACCAUCAUUAAAAUGGACUGAGGUUAAAAGAGUCUAAACUGCUAAGGACUGGGUUUUUAGAAAGUGACACAAACCUUGGGCAGAAAUUGAGUUGCCUUUUUGUCUUGUAGUGGUUUAGAAGUCAUCUUGAUAAGGCCACAAACUGCAUUGGUUUCCUCAAUAUAACUGCUUGUGAAUUACAUGAACCCCAAUAGAGUGAGCGUUUCACUCAGCCAGGACAGGAACCAGAGUGAAAAGCCAUCCCAUGCCAGCUAGGACUGAUUUGUAGGGGAGGGGGCCAUCAGAGGAGGUGGUGGCAGAGGGUGUCUCCUCUGCCACCCUCUGCCAGGGAAGACGUGCUAUUUGUUGAAAGGGAAAGGAGUUAACAGCUCUCUCUGUUCCCCUUCUCCUCACCACCACCUCGAUGUUUUGCUGGACGCCUGCAGACAAGCAGCACUCCUUAACAGCCUCCUUUUGCGUUUUGCGUGUGUAAGGUGGGGAAGGGAAGAAGGUUGGCAUAAGUACAAAACUGGAAAAAGAAGGCACAUGAUUUUACUCAGUCCUGACUGAACCCACAUUUUGAAAGCAAGGGCAGUUUAGGCGGAGGGCAAAAAAGUGCUCAGUGGAGCAGAUGUUCACUGAGAAGAAAUCUCAGGGCAAAGGAAGAGGGAUAAUAAAAAGGAAAGGCAGGAGAAAAUGAAGGCCACAUUCAGCUUUCUGUCUGCAUGACAGUCUCAAGAUUUGGCUGCAUUAUUGUCCAGGAAGGAAGAGUCUGGUUGGUCUAGUAUGUAGCCCAGUUACAUAUCUCCAGUUUUUUGUUAUGGCUGUUGGUAUCUUCCUCCUUCCCUUUUCUCUGGUCCCAUGAGUGCCUGGAGCACUGCUCUUCAAUCUUUUUAAGAAUAUUCUUCCAAACUGUGUACACCACACACCUCUCCAGCCUCAUUCUGCCUCUACUUCUCCUCAGAUCCAGAACCACUGAUCAUACUGAGAGCAGCACUCCCCACUGCUCGUGCCCACUGAUGGGGUGCCAAAAAAUCUUGUUGGCAACUGUAAAGGCAAACUAUCCCCAAGGUUUUGGUUGGCUUGGGUUGGUGAAGUUAUCCCAAAAGCCACUGGUUUGAGGAUGGGCAAGCUAGGGGAGCUGCUUACUGAGGAACUGGGAUGCCAUUUACAGAGGUCAUCAUGAGCAUCACAGCUCUCGGUUGCUUAGCCCCUUGCACAUUGCCAAGUCUACUGUACCACAAGAUUUCCUUCCCCUGCAAGCCCUUCUCUUUCCUGUGGUACAAAUGAGAAGAAGUAGAGCUGAUGGUCCAUGUAUGGGAAUUCCAGAACAUUGUUUGCAUUUUUCUGUCUCAAAAAAUGCAUCUAGUUUCUGUCCCUCCCACCAUUCCCCCCAGAUUUGCUCAGGAAAUCAUAAGGCAGAGCAAUGAGAAGUAGGAUCACCAACAGCUCUAUGAAGACACAGGGUGGUAAAAUGCUUCCACACAAACUCACAGUCCAGUGUUUGUGACAUUUCAUAAAUAACUUUAAAAAAAAAAAAAAAAAAAAAAAAGAAUAACACAAGAACAAUCCCUUUACUUACUCAUCUGAAACAAAAUAAACAGCAGUGGCUACAAACUUCUUCUCGUAACAAUUACAAAAAAACUCCCAACAAUACAAUCCCCCAACUUUUAACACGCGCCUUGAAUGUUUUAUUUUAUUUUUUUUAAAACCUCAAAACUGCAGCAUAUCCUUAAGGGCAAACUUUUCAAUUAGUUUUUUUUUUUCUUUCUUUUCUUUUUUUCUUUUUUUCUUUUUUUUUUUUAAAUAAUGUGUUCACCAAAAAGAAAAAAAAAUUCCACAAAACAGUCUUGUACCAAGAAAAUGCAUUCAAAAAUAGAAAAUACUACACAACAAAAAUAUGUACCCUUCCUUUCCAAAAGAGUCUUCACAAAAAUGUAGAAAAAUGCCAACCAUUUUUUUUCUUUUCCUGAACACUUAACUUUCAACCUAGGGCACAAGUAUUUAUUGACUUCUAAUGUCUGUUUUUGCAUAAAAUAUGGAAGAUACAAACCAACUAUCAGGACUGUGAAGUUACAAAAAACAACACAUUAUUCUCCCCACCCCACAUUCCCUCCUUAGAAAACAAAACAGAGAAAGCCAAUGUUUCAACAACUGAUUGAACACCAUCGGGCUAGGAAAAUCAUCAGCUGAUAUGGGGAUUGAAAGAUGCUGGCAUAACAGGAAAAUCAUCUGCCUUUUAAAAGGCGUGCUCUUUGCACUUAUUCCAAUGUGCAUCUGUCCCGCUGGGCUCAAAUGGCCAGGCACUGGGAGGCAGGACACAGCCGAGUAUGGGACCCGGGAAGAAUUUGGGGUGUGGAGCCCCUGGAUUGUAUGCAUGUGUGUGUGUUUUACUCGCAAAAGAACCAGAGCCAUUUUGAAAGACAGAGAGGAUCUUUCCAUAUGCCUUAAAAGUGCAAGGGCAAUUUCUGGAUUAUAGUAGUUAAAUACGCAACAUUUUACUACACUUACUAGUCAAGUCCAUUUUCUGGCAAAGGCAGGCUCUUCGACCAGGGUUAAUCAGAUUGGCUUACCACUGGGAGCGUGUAACAGUGAAAAGCUGGUAGGCAAAAAGUGUCACGCCAAGGUGCAUCCAGAACUGACUUAUUCGGUGGGAAAGUGUUUUGCCUACCUCAAACACGGUUUAAGGUGUAUUACGUGAUUAACACAGCCAAAAGAUCAACAUCAGUAACAUCUAGCAGUGGGGACUUAGGUACAACAGGGAAGGCAGCUGUAUCUUGCACGCGUGGCUAAAUCCAUCUUUUGUGUACCUCCUUUGACUUCAUUGCCAUUACAUCUGCUUGCACCAGGGAUGAAUUUGCCCCAUGUGGUUCUGGAUUUUAUGACCAUUGGCCAAGUAGGAGCCCAGCCCUGCAAAACAUUGUGCUUAAAUAUUCCAGAUUGCAGAGCUGGGAUCAAAGAGGCUUCUCCCUUCCUUUGUUUGAGACUGAUUGUUUUCUUUCUAGCAUAUAUUUUAGAGGAUGCUUUCACUGUAAGGAAGAAGAGGGGAGCUUUUUCUUAGCUUUUUUGACUGCGUGGCUGUGUGUUUUCCUUUUCUUUUUUUUUAAGUUUUCAAAUGGCAAAAUGUGUUUGUGUUUACUUCCAGUGCAUUUCUUUCUCACAAAUUCAAAACAAAAAGGAAACAUUAUUUUUCCCGUCCUUCAAAAGGAAAACAAAAACAAACCAGAUCGAUAAAGUACAAUACAAUAAAAUCAGGCAUUAUAAAAGACAACGUGAUGUGCAACAGCAAUACCAAAGAAACAAAAAUUUUAUAUAUAUAUGUAUAUAUAUGUAUAUGUACAUAUAUAUAUAUAUUAUAUUAGGAUACAGGUACGAAUGAGCCAAGAAAGCUAUCUAACCCCACUACUGGAUGAUUGGUAAGCAUUGGUUAAGAAAUAGGUAAGGCUAUUCUGAUAUUUUUAACUUAGCACAGUUAACCACUGCUUCUCUCAUACCUUUGCUUCCUGCAUUUUUCACCUUUCACUCACUGGUCUUCUAUGUCUUGAAACUGAUCUUUUUUUCUUUUUCAUAUUUUUUGGUCUACAGUAGAAUUACAUGUUAAUAACAAGAGCAAAAAAAAACACCCAAGUUCAUUGUGAGAGCAAGUUGGUGCCACAUCCAUGAUGCAGAAUAGAGGAGACAGACAACAGAACAACUUCAUUCAGUUUUUCACACACAAAGCAUAUUCAAGGGCAACAACACAGUUGAUCAGAACAAGUUUGGAGCAGAUGCUGUAGGUUUGUAUCUACACCAGCAACCAGAGCCCAGCCUCUUGUUUUUACCAGUGUCCUGAAGGACAACAGUAGCUCAAUUUGCUGCCCAGCUUUGCCAUUCUUGUCACCUGGAGCAAAGGCUGACCUGACAUCUACUCACUGCUAAUUGCACUCCUGGUUUGAUGGAAACCAAAAGGAAUAGGUACAAGGCUCCUAGCUGGGGCCAAGGUUGUGACAUGGCCACCUUGGCUGAUCUGACAAACCACCAGCCAGCAUGGAAGUGGGAUCAGUCAGGGAGGGCACCUGGCUGGCCAGCCAUUUGGGAGUAGUCUAGAGUCAAACUUAGACUGCUGAAGUUGAAAUGACAGAUUGCUUAGCCUUCUCCAUUGGGGAAAAAGUGAUGAACUCUAACAGGAUAGUCUGGGAUCAUUCUGUUAGCAAAAACUCUCUAAUUUCAACAGGGAUGAGAAGGCAUACAUUCUCUAUUGCUUUAGAAUCUGCUUUGUAAAUGUCAGCAUCACCAGCCACCAGAAUUGUGUUCCCUACAAACUUAGCCAUAGCACUGUGACUGAAGCUCCAUCAUAAUUCCUGGCAUUAUUUUUUUUUUCCACUGGAACUUCUGAAACAUAGUAUUUUCUUAAAGGGUAAGCUAUACACUUACGAUAACAGUGAAAACGUCACUAGAAUCUUAUUGAACUGUAACUAAGCCACGCAGUCCCAGCAAAUUCUCAAGCUGAUUUUCAGUAGUGCUUGUCAGUGUCUAGCAAAGGAACAUACAGAAACUAGCUAUCAAACAGCAAAGGGAAGUUCUGUUUUGGACCUAGCCCACUGGCCAAAGUGAUUUUCAUUCAAGAGAAAAGGUGCAACAAUGAAGCAGGAUGACAAAUGGAGGAGAAUUAUGGAAGUUAGUGUUUCUCCAUCUAGAGAAAGAAACAGGGCAUUAAGUUAUGUGGCAUCUCUAAUCAGCAACACAUUUUGGCUUCUUAAAACGAACCUCAAGUUAUCCUUGGUUUCUCAGUCAAGCACUGUCUACGUGGGGCUUUAGUACCAUGCUGAAAUAAAUUGAGUUUGUGCUAUAUUUAAAUGUGUUUUCAGUUAAACUAGUCUCAAACCAACCAUGUAAAAAGGAACAACCUGUUUAAAAGCCUUUUAAAACUAUACAGUCAUAGUACAACUAUACAUCCAGGAACUGAUCUGGUUGAGCACUGUAACCAAGUAAGAACAGAGACUGGAAUGUGGCUUUUAAAAGCAGUUUGAUUCUUCUUUACAUGGACAGGAUCGGUCUUAUUGAAACUGAGUGAGAAGGAAUCAGGUUUAAACAGGCUGAAUUCAAACCCUGUUGGGGUGCAUGGCUCAAAGCCCACUUCUUCAGGUCACAGUACUUAAAAAAAAAAAACAAACUAGUGCAAAUGGCAUCUUAUCACAGCAUUGCAAGCAUGCAGUGUUCCUCUCCUUGUCUAAACACGGCUGACAUCAGGUCACCCCACAAGUGAGGAAUAUGCAGCAAUCAGUCAGCCAGAACAGCUCAAACUACAGAAGUUCUUUAUUUUACCACAGCAGGAAAGGCACUCUGGACACAGCAGGCUCAGUAAAUCCUCAGCUUCAUUUUUUGGGGGGAGUAGUCCACUAUUCCUCUUUGACAACGCAAAUCCGUUCUGACAGUAGCAAUAUAUGCAGCUGCUUUAAACAAGAAAACAAAACAAAAACUCAACUAAAGUAAAAGGGGAAUAUUGGCUCAUAACCUGAACUAACUUCAGUAGACAGACUUGAUUCCCUCCCUGAACCUGUAGCUACAACUACUCAUAUGGAAGCAAAUGCCACUUUACAAAUGAAAUGUACUCUCCAGCCACUGUAUUACGCUGGCUCUCAAAUGAACUGUGCUUUUGUUGGGUGACCUCUGCCUCAUUACUGGAAGAAGGCCUUCCAGGAUUCCCACAGAUGGCUUGGAAAGAGACCAGGUGUUCCACUGAAUUGUCUGCUCUUGAGGGAAGAGCCAUUCAGUAGUUUACCUGGCACCAUAUCAGAGGUUAUCUCUAGUUCUCUUCUGGCACUUCCAAGACAGGAUAGAUGAAAUCUAACCAAAAAUGGAAAUCUCAGAGCUUCUUAGACAGACACAUUCUUAACUAUUAAGUUUCUUCUGGUUCCAGACAGGCUUGCCAGUCUCACCCAGGACCAGCCUCAGGUAUAUUAUUUCUCCUCCAGUUCUUGCUACUUUUCUUGAAUAAGGCAGCCCAACAAUGACCAGCAACAAUUAGCUCUGCACUGUGCAGCUCUGUGUAAGGCCUGCACUACUUGAUACUAAUGAUGCCAAAAGGUCUUAGCUUCAGGCCUACAGAGAAACUCAGGGCAUGAGUGGACUUUUGAACACCCAAUUACUGUAGGCUUUCCUUAGGAAUUGGAUGCUUACCUCCCCUCUUUUGUUCAUGAAACCUCUGUGCACAUUAGACAGGUGGCCCCUGCACUGCAGAUGCCCUCAUGUUUUACACUCCUCUCCUAGUUGUUAUGCAGAGCAUUAUUCAUGAUUCUACUUUAUCUUUUGGCAAAAGUUGUAACUAUAAUUUUACUGAAGAGAUCAACACAAACUUUUGAGAGUUUAUAGAUCACAAAGAACUACAGCAAAGAUGGACCUUGCUGCACAUUGCCACUGUUUUCUUUUUUCUCCUAUUAUCCUUGCUACAGGGCUGGUGACCAAGAUAUAGGCCACCAUGAAUCAUGAUUGUAAAAACAUUAUGCUAUCAAUUCCAUUUGUUUCCAGCCAGAAGCCUUUCCCAUGCUUUACUAUUUGUUUGAGUAGAGAAAUCAGACUGAAGAUCUAAAAAUGCCAGAGAGCACCUUUGUCCAAGCAGGAAUAUUCCUUAUUGUACUGAAUUCCACAUCACACUUCCUUGACCACUUGUCCUGCCUGCUCCUUCUGCUGCAAAGGCUUGACUGGAACACUUUUGAUUGAGUGUUCAGAAUGACUUUAUUGCACCAUUCCCAUAACAACCUUUGAAAAAAGAGCUUUUUUUUUUUCUUUUUUUUUCUUUUUUUUUUUUUUUUUCAGUGACCUUCCCCUUUGGUAAGCCUGCUUUGUGGCUUUACUUCUUGAGCUGGGAGAUCAUACUUACACCCAAGGGAUACUAAUCACAGCCAAAUCUCUCUGAAGAGAUCCCAUCUGACAAGGCAGAUCCUGAGCAGAUUUUGAACUAGAAAUUUGUAUUUCCAUAUUGAAGCCUUACUCUGGAUUUAUGCUAAGUAGUUCCCUUAACUCUCUCACAGCCACAAAGAACACUCUCUACGAAAAUAGGGGAAAAAGACCUAUAGCACUCUGAAUCUUGUGAUGCCUCUUCUGUUUCUGUUACAGUGCUUUUUGUUACUCUCAUUUCUUUAUUUUAUUUUUUUUACAGAAGCUAUCCAGUACAGCUAUCUCAGUGUCUGACUAGUUGCUUAAAGUAAAGGUAGCCCCAGUUCUCCUUCAACUUGGUCAAGUCUGUGAUACAUCUGAUUUCUGUGCCCAUCACUUUCUCCUUUCCCUUCCUGCUUAAUUGGCCCCUUCCAAUCCCACCACAUGUAAAUACAUUUCAGUAGUGCAAUGCAGUGCAGUGCAGUCAUACUUAGUGCAAAAAUAAAAAGCCUUAUCCAGACCAAAAAAGCACAAACUCCCUCCCCACCCCACCCAAUCCCCAAGAAAUCAGCUCUCAGUAAAAGUAUACAAAUGCCCCCAACCAAAGGGGGGUUUGCAGUCUCCCAGCCACACUUUCACAUGCCUCAAUUUCUCUCCUCCUCCUGCUCGAUACAGAGAUCUCAUUAGUAGACAGGAUAAUUAUCAAAAAUAUAAGAAACCAAAUGACUGCAAAUGGAAAGGAGACAACAUUUUCUAGGGGCUGCAGAAAGAAGAGAGAACUAAAUUGAUACAGCAAAAAGGUCAGUAGUGGUUUUACACAAACUUGUCAGAUGCAAAAUCUGCAAGGGUAUACCUUGCAAAGGGCAUGUGUAAGUGUGGAUAAAAACCAAAAGACUUCCCUGUCCCCAAUAUACAGUCUUCAUUUUAACAGUGCCCAAGCUAAGGUUCUGUAGUGCAAUCAACUUCUCAAAGUGGCAGCUCUCCGGCCACCCUAAAACAAAUGGACAGAUCAACACUAACUUCAGUUUUCUCCCUUGCACGCAGAGUCACACGUGCAUAGAAAGUUCCCUCCCUCACCUUUCAAAUACACAAGAAAUAUAUAUAAAGGAUUUUUUUUUUCAUAGCUCUUCUAGAGCUAUGGUGAGAAAAGCAGGAAUUUUAAUGACAGGCAUAUAAGCUUUUACGUACCUAAAACUGAAAGUACAUAGGAAAAUAUUAUGAAGCUCACUAGUAACAAAGACAAGUAGGUUACUGGAUCCCAAUCAGCCUAUGCUUCCCCUAGUUUAUUGAUCUGUUUCAACAAAACAACAUCUGCCAGGGCUUGCCACUCACUAAGGUAUCACUUGGAAAAACAUAAUAAAGACCAUGGUGGUUUCACCAGUACUUGGAGAUUAACGUUGGUUUGGACAGCCACAAGAGCUUUCAUCUACCACUCAUAACACUGAGAAAGAAGUGUGGGGAACCUCUAAAAUAGUGUAAGAGGCCACAGUGGGAGAGAAAGAGGAAGAAAGGGAAAUGUAUAGAAAGAGAAACAUACUAGGGCAAUCCUGCUGCUGCUAUACAAGUCUGUCUACAAUUGCUCAGUAUGUAGAGCGAUAUUGCAUGAUGCUUCAUCUAGGCUCAGGCACAUGCUUUCUCAUGUCUUCUCCCUUUUCUCCCAUUCCCAAUCCCUUGUUGAAAAUUGCAGCCUACCAAGAACGUAAACAAAAGCAAACACCAACAAAAAAAAAAAAAAAACAAAGCAUAAAUGAGAAACAAGUUCCUCCUUUAUCUUUCUCUUGCAGAAACAGAAGAACGAUGCCCUCGAGUCAGGCGCACAGAUACACUCUGUUUCAUUCUAAAGAUUAGCAGGCCUUCAACUGCACAGAAAGAAGCAAGGAGUCAAAGAGGAGUCUAAUUAAGGGUAUGGGGAUCCUGAAUACUCAUCUCCGAAGCAGAAAAAUGCCAGGUCACAAGGACAUUUGCUGUUUAUUUUUAGCUGUGAGAAUGUCAGAAAAAAUUGCUAACUAUGGGAAGGAGCCAAGCACCUAAACUCUGUCUCUGGGUGGAGCCACAGCAGUGCGUUCCAUGUCAAAGCAUGCAGAAGACACAAAAUGGGUAAUGCUUGCUAGCUCUUCUGUAAGGUCUAUAAACAUCAAUUUAGCCACUAUAACCAUCAGCAAUGCAUUUUUCUCUAUUGGCUGUACUUUGAGGGUGUCCUGUUCGCUAAAAUGCCAAGCUCAUGCCAAACUAUGUGGGUUCGCAUCCAUUCUCCUGCACACAAGAUACAAUCGUAUGUUUUUUAAAGGAAGUCUAAAGAAAAACAUGAUGUAUUCUCUGAAUUUUGGGUUAUUUUAAUCAGACAUUACAAAUAAACCAUUUUAUUUCACCCAAAUGGUUACAGAGCAGGGUACCACAAGAGAGCCUCUGAGUAAAAUAGCCAGAAAUGUAGAAUCACUUAACUCCACGUAUCACUGCUGCAAUGUUCCUGGGUCAUAGCUCUCAUUUACACCCCAAACACUUGUACAUUGUUCUAGUAAUAGAAAAGUGACACAGCAAUGCUGUAAAUUAGGGAAAAACAAUUGCUGUGUAUCAUAUAUCUACACUAGCUGUUGUAGCCUCCUAUUUAAUUAUUUAAGAUUAACAUGCUAUCACCAAUCAAAAGAUGCUAUGUACUUGAGUACUUGUGGAAUGAAGGACUCAAGGCCAUUUAUGACUUUAUGGACAAAAAACAUCCUAUGUGUUAUUCAAUAGGAAGUGGCUGUCCUACCCCGUAUUCUGUGUAUUUCUUUUGACUGUUCAGGCCUCUCAGCAAGAAGCAGUCCCUUUAAUCGCAGAGCCCUUAAAAAUGGCAAAAUCUGCCUGGUAGAAUUAAAUCAAAUCUUAAGUCAUUUUUAGGAAGAGUGAAAACCUUGGGCAGGAACAUUCAAAAGUUAUGGGGAACAGUCCUGUGACAUCUUAAGGGAUGUAUAUGUAAUUAGUUCUUAGGGCUAUGACCUUCUGUAAGACUAUAUAUGCUUUCCCAGUUUGAGAGGAUGCACAAAGUCAACAAAAGAGUCUGCAAGUCAUGUCUGCAGGAUUUGGCUCAGAAAGCAUUGGUCUAUUGCGUUUUUGGGAUGAAGUACAGACCUCUCUGAUGCUGACAAGAAGGUUAUGCAGGACAUCCAGCCUGAGCUGAGCAGCCUUUGUAUCUUACAUUUGGUAACAAAAGCUGAUUAUGGGUGGGGCAUAGGGAAAACCACAGAUUUUUUUGUGUCAUUGCAAUGUAAGUUUUUUUGAAUCUGAGCUUUGGAGCCAGGAUCCAAGGGAUUGAAUGCUCAAUAUAUAUGGAACUGGGAAUAAAUCAAAGAUUUAAAGGAUUCUGAGUUUCACAGAAAUCCGGUCUACAUACUGGUAUAAUGUCAAAGGAAAAAGGACAGGCCCCAAAAGACAAUGAAACUUGUUGAAGAUACUUGUGAACUAACUUAGUUCUGACUCCAAAAACUAAAACAGUGACACCUCUUCCACAAAUAAAUGGGAACUACACAUUUUAAAAAGGUAAAUAUAGUCAUAUAUGAAUAAAAAAGAGCAGCAGCAGAUGCUGACGAUUCAGUCUUUUUCUCUAAGUGAAGUGGGUGAAGAGCAAGUCCCUUGUAUGAAGUUUAAACAUUCCCCUCUCCUGGGAGAUCCCCCAGUCUUUGGCACAAGCUCCCCCAUGGCAGGGGGACCUUCCUCUUAUUCAGCCGUGCAGAUUGGAGCUUUAGAGUCCCUUUCCGUCCCCGCACAGUAGUACAGGGUAAUGCUCUCUUAGUACAAGGUUCUCCCUCUUGUGGUGACAGCGUUACCUACUUCCACUGUUGCGUUACUCAAAAGGCGUAUUAAACAGAAAAGAAGUGCAGAAGGGAGCUGAAUAGUAAUGCUAUCAUCUGCAGAAAUAUGGCUUGCAUUAGCCCAGGACGUCUACUUGGUCAACGAGGAAAUGGAAACAGAAAACAACAACGAAACCCAUAUAAUAGGAUAAAGCUAAUACUUGGAUAGAGUCUUCCCUUAAUGUUUACGCCAUUCAAGGAAAGUCUCCAACACAUGACUAGAAAACUGCAAAGCCAGUAUCACCUUCUGUUUUCUCUCUCUUCAGAAAAACAGAAAACAUGCACAUACAAGUUUCGUAGAACAUAACAAUUCUCCAGGUUAGCGUUUCUUCAGAGAAUGAAAAAGAAAGGAUACAUGUUCAAAAAAGCAAGAUUUCUGGAUUUACAAAUGACUGACUGUCCUUUAUGUAAAAGAUAUGUUAAAAUAGUGUUCACCAGCUGAUUAUUUUGUUAGUUUCACUUUCCCUUAGGCAAUUGUAUCUGUACACACUGCAUUCUAAAAGUACAAUCUCUAGUGUGGAUAAUCUACCUGUUUGGUACCAUCCUGUUUGUAAAACCACUUCUUAGCCUAAAAAUAUAAACUGUAAACUGUAUAAGAUGCAAAAUGAGCGGUGGUGCUUAAAAAAGCAUUAGGAAAAAUAAAAGGCAACAAGGAAGUUAAAUCAAGAAACGUAUUAACUAGUCAUUAUCCUAAAUGAAUUACUGAACCUUACAAAGGAUUAGCAGGGGAAGCAUGGAAUGGGUAUGCAGCCAUUUAAAUGAGCAGGCGUUCUCAGUGAAGUGAGAACACUCUCUUCUAAAAUAUGUAUGAUUUAGCACUGAGUCAAAGGAAAAGGCAAAAGACCAUGGUCAGAAAUUGUGGACCACUGAAUCAGCACUCUGUCGCAGCAGCUAACUGGAAUUAAUUUGGGAAAUGGCACCUUUUUGGUUUAAGGGGACCAAAACCAUCCUUUAUGUAGUAGGGCAAAUUAGUAGUCUCUUCCUUCCCUCACAAAUGGAUAUACACAGAAUAAAGAUGGGCCAGAGUUAGAAAUCACUGAUGGAAGACCAUCACUUUUAAACUGUGAGUAGAAAGAAAAGGGAUGUGGUAGUGGCCUCCACGUAAGUGCAAAUGGCAGACGACAGAAGUCUGUAAGGGCUGCCAGCACCUGAUGACUCCCAUGCUUGAAGUUCUCAUGCUAUCAUCCCAAGAGGUGGCAUAGAUAAAUCUUUCCCUCUCCUCUCACUCCAAAAUCACCUUUAAGUUUAUUGAUUUGCAGUGACACAUUCCUCAUUCUCAAUGAAAGCACAGUUCAUAAUCAAUGUGACCACUUCUCAUUUCUUCCAGUCUUUACAGUUAGAAGAAAUGAGAUACAAUGAAUACCUCCUCCACAACUCUCGUCCACUUGAUUUUGCACAUUUUCAUCUCAAAUUAACAUGUUAUUGACCAAAAGAAUGAAGAUCAGUUGAGAUGUAAUUGAACUGGAAAAGCAGGCAAAUUUCCAAGCUCUCAUAAGUUUGGACUUGUACAAAGUCUGGAUCUAGAGUUGCUGCCUGGGUGAUCUGCUGCAAGAUGAGAACAGGGAAAGGACACCCCAAGGCAUUAGGUUUAGGUGUUGAUCAGUUUCCUCUGGACUAUUCAGGUGUUGACAUCUCUAGUAACAUUUUUUCAGCAGCUCCCUGGUGAAAUCCUAAUAGGUCUGACUCAAAGCUCAGAACCAACUGGAAGAUGACAAAGAAAUGUUCAAGUGGAUAUGAAAAAUCUAAUUGGAAUAUAUUAAUAGCAGUGGAUGGAGGUAUCUUGUAUCCAAUUCCUGUCAAAAUCCACUGGCCACAUUCAGAAUGACUGUAAAAAAGAACUAUAUUUCUUCUUCUUGGUGUGGGGAAGAAUUUCUGGAAAUCUUAAAACUUCAAAGAAACAGAAUUUGGAAUGAGUGAAAGACCACUUCUGGCAUCUUUCUCCAAGGCUAGUGGUAGUGGAAGAGGAAAGUCUGACAGAUGCUUUUGCAAAUGAAACAACAGGACAUCUUUGAGGAGAGCAAAUAGAUAAUCAUUUUGAUUAAUUGUUCUUCUGAUAUGAGAGGGAUAGCAGGGAACAACAUUUAACUUUUUGUAGAACCUAAUACUGUUUUACCUUUUCAUAAAAAAUUACUUUCCUACAUCUUGCUACAUAGAGAUUCUUAAAAGCCUGAAAAAAAAAUACUUGUAAAGACAAUAAAGAAGCAAAUAAUACGAAAAAGCACAACAGAGCUGUAAUAAUGAUUGUUAAAUGCUUCAAGUUGCUGCAGCAGUUGAUUGGGUUGUGAAUGAUAAAUGCGAAAAUAUUUUUUUCUAUGAUCAUAGGCAGAUGCAAAAGUUAAAUGAUUAUACUAUGUAUAUAUAUUGAUAUAGAAUUGCUAUAUAUAUUGUGUACUGUAUGUUCUAGCUUUCAGAAAUACUGUAUUGUAGUGUACUGUACUUACUAAGCAGAUCUAAAUAGCAACUUGUCAUUUUCCACAAAGUCACUAGUACUGUUAACAAAAACCAAAAAGUCUAUUUUCUCCAGUAAAAGAAAUACAUACUGUUACAGUCACAGACAUUUUGACUAUAGAGAGACAAUGUACAUUUAACCAAAGGAAAACCCCAAACCAAAAUAAAAACCUCACCCCAAAAUCAUCCAGCCAAAAUUGUUGCAUUUAUCAUCUUACUCAAAUGAAGAAGGGAAAUGCCACCAAUAUAAGAAAAGGAAUAACAUUUACUCAACUUGGUAUGACUGACAAUGAAAGGAAAAAAAAAAAAAAAACCACACACCCCAGAUCAUCAAUUACCCUUUCUGUGACAAAAGAAUUUCAGAAUAGAAAGAAUAAAAAGCUACUUCAGGGCCACACAAUACCAAAGCAGGCAGCUGUAGCUUAACACACUGAUUCAUUCUGCUAAUGAAAUGAGAGCAAAAUGCAUUCCAGAGAUCCUUCACUUCUCAUGGAAUACAUGCUGACUAUGCUCACUGACCAAUUCCUUCUCCUCCUAAUAAUCUACCAGCCUUCUUGACAAAUUAAAGAUGUUCCUGAAAAGACUUUGGCAAAGACCAGAGGAAAGUCAAUUGUCAGUGGCUGUACAUUCUGAUUACCUUAUUCAUAUUAUUUGCAAUGAUAUUCAUAGCCAACAUGUUGCAGACUAUAUGAGGUGGGGAAAGAGCUGUUUGAUAUGGGUCUCCAGAUACAAGAGAUCAUUUUACAGCCUAUCAAUACAUUGUACAGCUAACUGUUUAAUGACUUUUGAUAAUGAUGACUAAUGAUAAUUUUUUACUAUCCUUUUUAAGGUGUGCAAAGAGGAAUGUUAGAUUAUGUUUUAUUUGUUUUUGGUUUUUUUAUUUUGUUUUUUAUUUUUUUUUGCAUUUUAUUCCCCUGUUAAGUGAACAUGAAAUUCAGUGGAAAUGAGGGACUGGGCUCAACAAUGUAGCCCUAGAGCUGCUAGUCCCCUGGGUGUUCACUUCAGACAGCAAAACCUGCUGAGUAAUGCAGCUUUAUUUAUAUUGUGGCUAAAUGUCCAUCCAAGAGGCACACUUCAGCUUUCCCUUCAGAGUAGGUACUAACAAAAAUACACUGGGCGAGGUCUGGGAGUCAAGUUUUGAACAGAGGCAAACAUUUUAUUUGGGCAAAUAUCUAGUUAAGUGCAUUUGGCCAACCAAGUGCAUUUGAUGAAUAUAUAUGUUCAUGUAUACUGUUUAAGUAGUGUACUACAGAUCCAUGUCAGUGUUCUACAGUUAAUGUUGUAACUGCUGUAUCGUUGGAACCCUUUCCUGAUCCAGAACUAGCUAGCUAGCUACCUACACAUGCACACAUACACAAGCACACUCACACGUGUUUGCAUGCACACGUGCACAGAGGACAUAUAAUAUGGUUUUAUUCAGAGAUCCCAUAGAUAGCAACAGGCUAUGCAACAAAUGAAAACCAAGAAAAAGACUUUUGGGGAAGAAUAAGAAAAAAGCUGUGUUGUACUUCAGGGCAGUUGCAUGACUGUAGUCCUUAUUCCUCAAUGCACUGCUCCUCUCUAGUCAAAUAGUAGAUCUUCCACAUGGGAUACUUUUAGGGAACUGCAGUUGUCAACAAAGAACACGGGAAUAUCCAGGUGGCAAAAAGAAAAGGAUCAAAUUAAAUAGAAAAGAUGCCUAGUUAUAUGUAUAGACCUCAGAAAUGUGCCUAUCCAUUUUGUAAGAACAAGAUGCUGCAGAAACAGACAGUUGAGCACUACAGCAUGUACCUAACAAAGCUCUGCACUUUCCUCAGUUGUUCAGUUGCAGCAGAACAUGGCAAAAAUCACCACAAAGCCAUAUGAAUGAAGUAUGCAGCCUUUUGCUCAUAUUAUUAAUUUGGUGUAGGAGCAGGAUUUAUCCUCCAGUGCUUUACAGGGAGCUGAUGCCAACCAACUCAAUAAAGACAGGAUCACUUUGGAAGAGGACCAAACCCGUAGACAUAACAAAAGGUAAGGAACAGCUGGAAACACCAUCCAGUGUAAAGAGAACACCAGGAAUCACUUCUUUACUUCCUUGCUUCCCUCUCAUACAAGAAAACACAAUAUAAUACAUUUCAUAUGAAAAGAAUGUUUUGGAUGGAACUCUGCUAUGGAUACAAAACAUGAGUACACUCUACAGUUCAGAUGCAUUUCUGUUUUAAGCAAUUGCUUUUGAGGCUGUAGUGUAUUCACUUCCCAAAGAAGUAUUUCACUGUUCUUUGCUUUUUGAAAAAUAGUUAAGGACAAAUGUGCAAACUGGGAGGUUAAAAUCCAAAUUGAUCAAGUUUUUGGAAGACCUUUCCACCCUCAAUGUUAUGCUUCUUAUUCUUUUCUCCUUAUUUUUUUCUCCUUAUUACUGCUUGUAUUGCACUAGGAAGGGUUUUCAUUGCAUCUACAAAUUCAAGACUACAGAUGUAACGUUUUUUGCCGUUUUUUUUUUUUCCUAAAUCUUUCCUUAGCAAGGUUGUGAUCACUUGGGGGCUAAAUCCUACUGAGUGACAAGCCCCUUGAGAGCUGAGGAGGCUCAGAAUCUCUCCAAGUCAAGUUCUCAUUAGGUUGUACCUCCUUCACAAAUUGUCACAGCUAACAUAACAACAAAUCAAAGAAUGUGAAAGGUAGCUAUUUUGCUUUAGGCUGAUGAGAUGCUGUUUCAGUUAGGCUACGUGCUGAUUCAUUUCUAUCAAGUUUCUUUCAAUAGCUCAGAGGAGUUGGAUGCAGAACUGGAAGGGUGGGAUUAUCAAGGUCUAGUUUUUCUUGAGAGAACAGCCACCAUGUACUAAAUUGAUACUACUUUUUGAGUAGCAAGUCAUCUUGAACAAUGAGAACUGCAGGAUUACCUUACCAUAAGACUGUUGAAAGGGUCAUAGUCAUGAGCAUACUGGAGGUCUGCUUAUGUUUGAAAUGUUUUUGGAUUGGACUCAGUGCUUAUGCAAAGAGUAUGUUUUGUGCCUUCCCCCUGCAAGGUUUGUUUUCUCUACUAAGAGAGGCAGAACAUGUUAGAAUAAUACUAAAGGCAAGAGAUCUGUUCUUACACCAUGUGAACAAUCCAGCAUUAACUGAGCAGCUUAAGGUUGACUGAAAUCAGUCAGUUUGGGGUCAGUAAGAAGUGAGGGGGCUGCUGUGGGUUAUUACUCAACUUUUCUUUGGAUGAAAAAGAAAUCAGAAGUAGAAAAAUGGGCACCACUUAUCAAAGAAUAAUAGAAUCAUAGAAUGGCUUGGGUUCUAAGGGACCUCAAGGAUCAUCAAGCUCCAACCACCCUGCUGGAAGGCAGGGCUGCCAAUCUCCAUAUUUACUACUAGAUAAGGCUGCCCAGGGCCCCAUCCAACCUGGCCUUGAACACCUCCCUUUAACGUGGGGCAUCCACAGUCUCUCUGGGCAGCCUAUUCCAGCACUCACAACUCUGUUGGUGAAGAACUUCCCCCUGGUACCCAACCUAAAUCUUCCCUCCUUCAACUUAAAACCAUUUCCCCUUGUCCUGUCAUUAUCGACCAUUCCAAAGAGUUGAUUCCCCACCUGUUUGUAGGCUCCCUUUAGGUGCUGGAAGGCUGCAAUGAGGUCACCCCACAGCCUUCUCUACUCCAGGCUGAGCAAGCCCAGCUCCCUCAGCCUGUCUCCGCAGGGGAGGCCUCUUUGAUUAAGAGAAAAGGGCAAUCGUAUUGUCUUAGUGCAUUAAAUGAUAAUUUUCUCUGUUAGCUUAUUGUGAAUUUGGGCUGGUUUUGAAAAUACCUAAUUGCAUAGGCCAGAAGUGGGCCUAGUGGCAGCAAGACAGUUGUUGUUCAAAGCAGCUCCUGCAACACAUCUACGUCUCUUUCCCUUAUGAGAGACAAUUACUGGGGAUUUUGUGAGAGAAGUUAUGAGCCCAAAAUGCUCAUAUUACAAUUUCUAAAUAGCAGUGUACUUUCUUGUUAUUUUCUGAUUGUGUAAGAGCUAUACUUUCUGUGCCUCUGCAAGAAAUCUUGUAGGAGAACCUCACUGAUGCACAUGCCCAACACGCACACACACACGCAGUUGCUAGCUGUUCUCUCCUUUCUGAUCAGUAGACAUUGAUCUCAUGGUCCUGCAUUCCUUGUGGAUUCAGAUCUCCCAAAGAGAGGCAGGCUUCAGAGGAAUGGGCAAGAGAAGACAAAUUUUGGUCAUCUGAUUUAUGCUUUCAUGGGAUACAAGAACAAUGGUGUUUCAAUAAACAGCAACAAAUUUAACCAGAAAAUGAUUUUUUUCCUAUAAGGCAGUAAUUACACAGACCAACUCACUUGCACAGGAUAGCAGUGGGGCUGUCUAUCAAUUAAUAAGCUAGAUCUUUACAGGAUAAUGAGAAUUAUCUGCCACAAUAUGCAAUUUUUAUAUGGGAUAAAAGGUUAAGGCCAUCAAUUAUUAUGUCUUCAGGUUAUAAGCAGAUACAUAUCUAAUAGGGAUUAUAAUAAAUCUUUUCCCUUAGGUUAACUACUUUGUAAUUAUCCAACAUGGGUCUUAGAGACAGAACACCAAGAGAGGUGGACCACAGGGUGAAUCUGCUGUGACUGUCCCUAUAUUUUCAAUUGACUUCACCAGCCUCAGCAGCAGUACAAGAAGGCACUUACUUCUCAUUUACCCUAUGGCUUCCUUCCACUUUUGCUGUGUAGAGAAGCUUUCAUUUCUACAUUUGAAUUUGUGCCCCAUUUGAUGCUGUUUUCCAUUGCUUGAAGCAAAAUAAGAAGAGCUUUAGGGAAAGUGAGAAUCGGGUUCAAGGAAUGCAGGAAGUCGUGUGCUUCACACAUCAAAGGGAUAUGUGCUACUGUCUGCUCUUGCUCAUCUAUGUAAUUUUAUUAGGUGCUUUGAAGGAAACCUUUUGAGUACACUGAGACGAUGCACUCAAACACUGCCAACAGCAGUUUGUAGAUCACUGGGCCUAGCAAUACAUGAAGCUGAAAAAUACUUGCAAAAAUCAGCUAUUGUAGUUGUUUCCACACAGUAUACAAAUAUUUCUGUGGUCAGGAAGAAGCAUUACUAAAAAUAAUUUAACAUUUUAAAAGACAAAGGAAUCUAUGUUUGAGCUUCUAAGUUCACAGAAGGGCGCUUAAAUGCAUAAGUGACCUGAUGAGCAUUUUCAGCAACAUUUGCAGGAGUGCUGCAAAGUUGCUCCAUGUUUUACAAAAUCUAGCCACUACUUUUUGAGCCUAGACAUUUGAGAAAAUCUGUUUAUAUUUCUGUUUGGAAAGACCUUGGCCUAAGCUCUCUGUCAAGUGAUUUAGAAUUCAAUUUAUAUGCCUUAGCUUUACUUUAAGGAGUUUACUUUUAAUUGGCAACAUUCAUUCAUUUGUAACUGAUCUUUAAUUCACUUUAAAUUGAUUAUGCCCUGUAAUAAAUUUGCAUUUCAAAGAUGAUGCUUUUUCUCAUUUAGGAAAGGUUGAAAAUUGAAGAAUUAAAUUUUGGAUAGGACUCCUCACUUUAAACUACUAAUAGGAUUUUGGUGGAUGUAAACCUUGAUUCUUAUUUCCUGUGUACAUGCAUCUCUUCUGGUAUCAGAACCAUAUUUCAUAAUAUGCUACAUUUCGACUAUAGUUGACCAGAUUGAACAGUGGCAAAUUAAACAGCUUUUCCCCAGACCUCAGAUGGCAAAUGAACAGCUACAAAUUUUUAAGCCAGGCAAAAUUCAUUAAUUCUUCAAACUGGAGAACAUGAAACAUUACAGUACUAAAGAUCUCAGAAAAAAAAAAAAGAAAAAAAGAAAACCAAAAAUCUACUUUCCUCACAGAAACACCUUUAAAUCAUUUUGUACAGGCUCAUCAUUCUAUUCUCUUACCCACCCUGGUCUCUACAAUCUGAAUUUUCAGAUUUAAUGUGCCUUCACAUAGCAGAUACUAGUUCUUCCUCUGUUUGUCUUAGGCUUAGUCUUUUCACUUCUAGCUUUACAGGUCAGCGUUGAUCUUACCAGUGCAGUUGUGAAAACAAUGUAUUUUUAACUUGCUCGUGCUCCUUCUCCAGCUCAGCCAAACUAAUGUAGAUACUUUUUGAAAAUCCUUCAACUACCCAAAGAAACUGGUGACCAAAAAGACGUUACCACAUAAAAGGUUCAUUUGCUCUGGCACUCAUCUCAAAGUCUCUUUAUGCUGUCUAGUGCAAGUGAGAAUCAGGCCUUGGACACUUAGGAUCUGCUGAACAAUACCUUGCAGGUUACUGAAUGAUUUCGAGACUGAAGUAUCUGUCAUUUUUUUUUCCUAUAGAAAAUCAGAAAUGGAACAGGCUUAGAAUGUAGCAAUGGGGUUACUUGUGCUGAAUACAGAAGCUGCGGGUGUAAAGAACACACAUCUUAUGUGUAGUCCUAUUGAUUCAGUAUUUAGAAAGUUGUCCAGCAUAAAAGAAUGUCUCAUGUGAAAUGCUCAGUGUUCACAAGCAAAGUUUUGUAAACUUAAGAAAGCUUAAUUUAAGUACAGACACAAGUAAAAGCUAAACUAGCAGUUCUUUUUUUUUUUUUUUUCCUUUUUGCAUAUUUUUGUUAGGUGCUUCUUCUCUGCCUAAAAUAUAAAGUCCAGAGUGCAGCUGGUGCAAAUCCUAGCUAUGGAUUUCAAGCGAGACAAAGACAGUGUCAGACACUGAUCCAACUGAACUAAGGACCCACGUACUUUGGGAGUUGGCUUUGGGGGAAAAUUCUCACACAGAUACACAGAAGAUGACUAGGGAGAACACUAGCCCAAAUACAAUAAAACAAAACACAAAACACCAACACAUAUAUGCAGAUCAGGAAUCAACCUUUCAUACUGAUCCUACAUUCCUUGCAUAGCUUUGCAUAUGCAGAGAAUGUGGGAUGUGGCCCUUAAGUUAGACAUUUUUGCAAAUGAAGAAGGGAAGGUUAUAUGCAAUGGUAGGGUUUUAAGUCAUUUUGGCAUCAGCACAAACUACCAGGGGCAGGAUCAGAUUCCCACACAAAUACGGAAGCUCUCUAGCGAGCAAGGCAGGGAUGAGAGAACAAUGCAGCUUAUUAAUUCUCGUCCAGUGACCAAAAAGAAGGGGAAUCCUAGUUAUUACAUACUUCCAAAACUUUCAUUACAUUUGCAAAAAUGAAGAAAGACAAGAAAAGGCUACAAAUUCUAUCAUCCCCCAAACCAAGGGAACAUUAAGAGAAAAUCUCUUUCUCAAAAGGAAUCUCCCUUCAGUGGAAAUAAGUUUGGAGAUGGAACCAAAACCAGAAACAACAGAACCUUGGUAAGAGCCAAAAGAGAACCACAUAACUCAAAAACAAAGUAGAAGUAUAACCCAUACUGCAGGACGCACAAACUCUAGUAGAUAAUCCCACAGAUGACUUCACAGAGCCCCUCAUCGACCCAGGUAAUUCUUGAUUCCAUUAGAAAAGAGAGAGAGAGAGAAAGAGAGAGAAAUAAUACUCGGAAAAAAAAAAAAUUAAGAAACAUCCUUCCUCUUUUUUAAAAUAAAAAUCAAGAUCAUCUCCCCUCCCCCCUCUAUCUGGAAGCAGGUUAGCUAACCUUAACAGUCUCAAUUUAAAAUAAAAUAUAUAUUUAUAUAUAUAUUCAUAUAUAUAAUAAAAGAGAAGAUAUUAGUGGCAGUGUACGCAAAACAAAAAAGAAAACAAAAAAAAAUUACUUUUAACAAUCUCACUUUUUGUUUUUUUUUUUUUACACAAAUACUGUUGUAAAUAUAUUAAAAAAAUCAGCAUUCUAUCUGGUAAACGUCACUUUUGCCCCUCUAUAAAAUUUUGAAUUAAAAAAAGUCCCAAGAACUCUUGUCUUUUU
ensembl:lncRNA